rnacentral:rRNA from 1 species
UACAGAGGGGGCAAGCGUUAUUCGGAAUUAUUGGGCGUAAAGGGCGCGUAGGCGGUGAUUCAAGUUGGAUGUGUAAUCCCCGAGCUCAACUUGGGAACUGCAUCCAAGACUGGAUUGCUAGAGUGCUGGAGAGGGUGGUGGAAUUCCUCGUGUAGCGGUGAAAUGCGUAGAGAUGAGGAGGAACACCAGUGGCGAAGGCGGCCACCUGGACAGUAACUGACGCUGAGGCGCG